AACGAACGCUGGCGGCAGGCCUAACACAUGCAAGUCGAGCGAGGACUUCGGUCCUAGCGGCGGACGGGUGAGUAACGCGUGGGAACGUGCCCUUUGCUUCGGAAUAGCCCUGGGAAACUGGGAGUAAUACCGGAUGAGCCCUUUGGGGGAAAGAUUUAUCGGCGAAGGAUCGGCCCGCGUUGGAUUAGGUAGUUGGUGGGGUAAUGGCCUACCAAGCCGACGAUCCAUAGCUGGUUUGAGAGGAUGAUCAGCCACACUGGGACUGAGACACGGCCCAGACUCCUACGGGAGGCAGCAGUGGGGAAUCUUAGACAAUGGGGGAAACCCUGAUCUAGCCAUGCCGCGUGAGCGAUGAAGGCCUUAGGGUUGUAAAGCUCUUUCAGCUGGGAAGAUAAUGACGGGACCAGCAGAAGAAGCCCCGGCGAACUCCGU
rnacentral:rRNA from 1 species